rnacentral:rRNA from 1 species
CCUACGGGGGGCAGCAGUGAGGAAUAUUGGUCAAUGGACGAGAGUCUGAACCAGCCAAGUCGCGUGAAGGAUGACUGCCCUAUGGGUUGUAAACUUCUUUUAUAAAGGAAUAAAACGAGGUACGUGUGCCUUUUUCCAUGUACUUUAUGAAUAAGGAUCGGCUAACUCCGUGCCAGCAGCCGCGGUAAUCCGGAGGAUCCGAGCGUUAUCCGGAUUUAUUGGGUUUAAAGGGAGCGUAGACGGGUUGUUAAGUCAGUUGUGAAAGUUUGCGGCUCAACCGUAAAAUUGCAAUUGAUACUGGUAGUCUAGAGUGCAGUUGAGGUAGGCGGAAUUCAUGGUGUAGCGGUGAAAUGCUUAGAUAUCACGAAGAACCCCGAUUGCGAAGGCAGCUUACUAAACUGUGACUGACAUUGAUGCUCGAAAGUGUGGGUAGCAAACAGGAUUAGAUACCCCUGUAGUC